rnacentral:rRNA from 1 species
UACGAAGGGGGCUAGCGUUGUUCGGAAUUACUGGGCGUAAAGGGCGCGUAGGCGGCCCUCCAAGCCAGAUGUGAAAUCCCCGGGCUUAACCUGGGAAUGGCAUUUGGGACUGCAAGGCUUGAGUGCGGCAGAGGAGACUGGAAUUCCUGGUGUAGCAGUGAAAUGCGUAGAUAUCAGGAGGAACACCGAUGGCGAAGGCAGGUCUCUGGGCUGACACUGACGCUCAUGCACGAAAGCGUGGGGAGCAAACAGG